rnacentral:rRNA from 1 species
AUGGCCUCCAAGACCGCGGUCGUCGCCUUCACACUCAUCGCAGCCCAGCUCCUCCUCGCAUCCACUCCAACGACCGCGAUAUCGAUCCCUCCGGCUACCACGACCGGUACUACCACCGUGCCUUCAGGAUCCGCGACGGACGUCCCGGCGCUCCCGUUCCCGGGGGAGGGCGAGGUGGCCGAGGCCGCGGCUGACUGCUGGAAGGUAGUGCUGCAGGCGGAGAGCUGCGCGGUCGACAUCCUCAAGUGGCUCGCGUCCCGGCAGCUCGCCGGCCGCGUGAGCCUGGCGUGCUGCGGUGUGCUCCAGAGGGUCGGCGACAGGUGCCUCCGCGACCUCUUCCCCCACUCUGCGGUCGGCCGACUCUACGCUCCCUUUGUGAGUCACGCGUGCGGUAUCCCCAAACGGGCAACGACCCCCAACGGCCGCCAGUGA